rnacentral:rRNA from 1 species
GCUGCCUAUCAGCUUGUUGGUGAGGUAAUGGCUCACCAAGGCGACGACGGGUAGCCGGCCUGAGAGGGCGACCGGCCACACUGGGACUGAGACACGGCCCAGACUCCUACGGGAGGCAGCAGUGGGGAAUAUUGGGCAAUGGAGGAAACUCUGNACCCAGNGUCGCCGCGUGAGGGAUGAAGGCCUUCGGGCUUGUAAACCUCUUUCAGCAGGGAAGAAGCGAAAGUGACGGGACCUGCAGAAGAAGCACCUGCUAACUCUGUGCCAGCAGCUGC